rnacentral:lncRNA from 1 species
CUUCGUCGGUGAGGCUCUUUGCGCAAAAACCUCGAUCUCCCUAUGAAGCUGAGAUAGCAUCGGCAGCUGCAUGCCAGCCCCCCGCUGCUUGGCUGGUGCAGGCUGCGCUGGUGCAGGCUGCUUCUGUCUCGCAGGGCUCUGCACAGGCUGCGCACGGCUGCGUGACUGCCGAGGUUCCAUGCCGCUCUGUUCCCCCGGUCCAGGGGAAAGCACUGGCUGAUCAGGUGGCUGCCGGGGUCUGGCUGAUGCAGAAUGGGGUGGCAUCACAACUGCAGGAGCGCCACG